GUCUACGGCCACACCACCCUGAACGCACCCGAUCCCGUCGGAUCUCGGAAGCUAAGCAAGGUCGGGCCUGGUUAGUACUUGGAUGGGAGACAAAAAUUAAUCAAGAUGGAUAAAAGACU
rnacentral:rRNA from 1 species